rnacentral:rRNA from 1 species
UAGUCCACGCCGUAAACGAUGAGAACUAGAUGUUGGGAGGAUUUGCCCCUCAGUGUCGCAGCUAACGCGUUAAGUUCUCCGCCUGGGGAGUACGACCGCAAGGUUGAAACUCAAAGGAAUUGACGGGGACCCGCACAAGCGGUGGAGCAUGUGGUUUAAUUCGAUGCAACGCGAAGAACCUUACCUGCCCUUGACAUACACGGAACUUUCCAGAGAUGGAUUGGUGCCUUCGGGAACCGUGAUACAGGUGCUGCAUGGCUGUCGUCAGCUCGUGUCGUGAAAUGUUGGGUUAAGUCCCGCAACGAGCGCAACCCUUGUCUUUAGUUGCCAUCAGGUUAUGCUGGGGACUCUAGAGAGACUGCCGGUGACAAACCGGAGGAAGGUGGGGACGGACGUCAAGUCAUCAUGGCCCUUACGCCCAGGGGCUACACACGUGCUACAAUGGUCGGUACAGU